rnacentral:rRNA from 5 species
AAAACUUUCAACAACGGAUCUCUUGGUUCUCGCAUCGAUGAAGAACGCAGCGAAAUGCGAUAAGUAGUGUGAAUUGCAGAAUUCAGUGAAUCAUCGAAUCUUUGAACGCACAUUGCGCCUCCUGGUAUUCCGGGAGGCAUGCCUGUUCGAGCGUCAUUA